CCUACGGGAGGCAGCAGUGGGGAAUAUUGGACAAUGGGCGAAAGCCUGAUCCAGCCAUGCCGCGUGUGUGAAGAAGGUCUUCGGAUUGUAAAGCACUUUAAGUUGGGAGGAAGGGCAUUAACCUAAUACGUUAGUGUUUUGACGUUACCGACAGAAUAAGCACCGGCUAACUUCGUGCCAGCAGCCGCGGUAAUAA
rnacentral:rRNA from 1 species